GGCAGGAGAGGAAAGCCAGGCAGACUGGAGGGAAGUGGAUGGGACCAGCCAACUACAAAGUCUCAGGACACAGGCCUAGAACAGUUCCCAAAGCCCUGCAGUCAGAACCAAUCAGAGAGUGCCACCUUGAAUUGCAUGGGGCUCUGGUAGGACAGCCCAGCCCCAAGGCCCGCCUCAGGAAAGAUGGCCGCCAUGAGGCCUGGGCUGCCGUCCACUUUUCCUGUGGCUUGAAGAGAGGAUCUCUUUUCUUACCUUUGUUCCUUGUUUAGCACAGAAAGAGCCUGGAAACCACCUCUGAAAGAAGACUCCUUCCCAGUAAGGGCUCUGCUGCGAAGGUUUCAGUGAGGUGGAGGAACACGAGCACAGCGGCGGGCGACCAAGCAGCACAAGGCACGAACCGCAGGAAGGGAAGCAGCGCAGGAGGACGCUGUUUACGUACCCAGUGGCCGCGCGACGCGGCGUGCUCCGUGGGCUCCGCUUGCUUCUGUGGCCGACGGCAGCCUCUGUUUAAAGGAGAUAUUUAGAGCUGGGGAUGCAGCUCAGUGGUGCUGCCACCUGCCUCACAAGCACAAGGUCCUGUGUUCAAUCCCCAGUACAAAAAACAACAAAAAAAAGUUACUGCUUUCCAUAAAGGAAGUAUUUAUAGCUUUG